GACGAACGCUGGCGGCGUGCUUAACACAUGCAAGUCGAACGCUGAAGCUUGGUGCUUGCACUGGGUGGAUGAGUGGCGAACGGGUGAGUAAUAAGUGAGUAACCUGCCCUUGACUCUGGGAUAAGCCUGGGAAACUGGGUCUAAUACUGGAUACGACAUGUCACCGCAUGGUGGUGUGUGGAAAGGGUUUUACUGGUUUUGGAUGGGCUCACGGCCUAUCAGCUUGUUGGUGGGGUAAUGGCUCACCAAGGCGACGACGGGUAGUCGGCCUGAGAGGGUGACCGGCCACACUGGGACUGAGACACGGCCCAGACUCCUACGGGAGGCAGCAGUGGGGAAUAUUGCACAAUGGGCGGAAGCCUGAUGCAGCGACGCCGCGUGAGGGAUGACGGCCUUCGGGUUGUAAACCUCUUUCAGCACGGAAGAAGCGAAAGUGACGGUACGUGCAGAAGAAGCGCCGGCUAACUACGUG
rnacentral:rRNA from 1 species